rnacentral:rRNA from 1 species
GGGGACCACGUGGAUUGCCUCAGUAGCGGCGAGUGAAGCGGCAAGAGCUCAGAUUUGAAAUCGUGCUUUGCGGCACGAGUUGUAGAUUGCAGGUUGGAGUCUGUGUGGAAGGCGGUGUCCAAGUCCCUUGGAACAGGGCGCCCAGGAGGGUGAGAGCCCCGUGGGAUGCCGGCGGAAGCAGUGAGGCCCUUCUGACGAGUCGAGUUGUUUGGGAAU